rnacentral:misc_RNA from 1 species
AAGUCGUAACAAGGUUUCCGUAGGUGAACCUGCGGAAGGAUCAUUAACGAAUUGCGUUCGGGGUUGUUGCUGGCUCUCCUCUCGGGGGGAGUAUGUGCACGCCUCGCAUCCAUUUCAACCUCACUCGUGCACUUCAGAGGACCGCUCGGUUCUCUUUUUCACACAAACCUCUGUAUAGUCAUUGUAGAACGUCUUGUAUUAAACUAAAUACAACUUUCAACAACGGAUCUCUUGGCUCUC